AGUGAACGCUGGCGGCAGGCCUAAUACAUGCAAGUCGAACGGCAGCACAGCAGAGCUUGCUCUGUGGGUGGCGAGUGGCGGACGGGUGAGGAAUACAUGGGAAUCUGCCCAGUCGUGGGGGAUAACGUAUGGAAACGUACGCUAAUACCGCAUGCGCCCUAAGGGGGAAAGCCGGGGACCGCAAGGCCUGGCGCGAUUGGAUGAGCCCAUGUUCGAUUAGCUAGUUGGCGGGGUAAAGGCCCACCAAGGCGACGAUCGAUAGCUGGUCUGAGAGGAUGAUCAGCCACACUGGAACUGAGACACGGUCCAGACUCCUACGGGAGCAGCAGUAGGGAAUAUUGGACAAUGGGGGCGAACCCUGAUCCAGCCAUGCCGCGUGAGUGAAGAAGGCCCUCGGGUUGUAAAGCUCUUUUGUCCGGAAAGAAAGCAAUCGGUUAAUACCCGGUUGUUCUGACGGUACCGAAGAAUAAGCACCGGCUAACUUCGUGCCAGC
rnacentral:rRNA from 1 species